AUUGAACGCUGGCGGCAUGCCUUACACAUGCAAGUCGAACGGUAACAGGUCUUCGGAUGCUGACGAGUGGCGAACGGGUGAGUAAUACAUCGGAACGUGCCUAGUAGUGGGGGAUAACUACUCGAAAGAGUGGCUAAUACCGCAUGAGAUCUACGGAUGAAAGCAGGGGAUCGCAAGACCUUGUGCUACUAGAGCGGCCAAUGGCAGAUUAGGUAGUUGGUGGGAUAAAAGCUUACCAAGCCGACGAUCUGUAGCUGGGCUGAGAGGACGAUCAGCCACAGUGAGACUGAGAGACGGCCCAGACUCCUACGGGAGGCAGCAGUGGGGAAUUUUGGACAAUGGGCGCAAGCCUGAUCCAGCAAUGCCGCGUGCAGGAUGAAGGCCUUCGGGUUGUAAACUGCUUUUGUACGGAACGAAAAGCCCUGGGUUAAUACCCUGGGGUCAUGACGGUACCGUAAGAAUAAGCACCGGCUAACUACGUGCCAGCCGCCGCCGUAA
rnacentral:rRNA from 1 species